CAAGCCUGACGGACAAUACCGCGUGAGGGAAGACUGCCCUAUGGGUUGUAACCUCUUUUUUCANGGAGGAAUAAAUGACGUGUACCUGAAGAAUAAGCAUCGGCUAACUCCGUGCCAGCAGCCGCGGUAAGACGGAGGAUGCAAGUGUUAUCCGGAAUCACUGGGCGUAAAGCGUCUGUAGGUGGUUUAAUAAGUCAACUGUUAAAUCUUGAGGCUCAACCUCAAAAUCGCAGUCGAAACUAUUAGACUAGAGUAUAGUAGAGGUAAAGGGAAUUUCCAGUGGAGCGGUGAAAUGCGUAGAUAUUGGAAAGAACACCGAUGGCGAAAGCACUUUACUGGGCUAUUACUAACACUCAGAGACGAAAGCUAGGGUAGCAAAUGGGAUUAGAUACCCCAGUAGUCCUAGCCGUAAACAAUGGAUACUAGAUGUUGAACAGAUCGACCUGUGCAGUUCAAAGCUAACGCGUUAAGUGCCCGCCUG
rnacentral:rRNA from 1 species